ACACACGAUCUACAAAAGAGCGGC
rnacentral:siRNA from 1 species